rnacentral:misc_RNA from 1 species
CAGAGAAUCUGCCUCCGGGCAAUCUCCCACCCUUUGUUUAUCUUACCUUUGUUGCUUUGGCAGGCCCGCCCUUGGGCCACCGGCUCCGGCUGGUCAGUGUCUGCCAGAGGACCCCAAACUCAUGUUUAAUUGUCGUCUGAGUACUAUAUAAUAGUUA